GUUUGAUCAUGGCUCAGAUUGAACGCUGGCGGCAGGCUUAACACAUGCAAGUCGAGCGGGGGAAGGUAGCUUGCUACUGGACCUAGCGGCGGACGGGUGAGUAAUGCUUAGGAAUCUGCCUAUUAGUGGGGGACAACAUCUCGAAAGGGAUGCUAAUACCGCAUACGUCCUACGGGAGAAAGCAGGGGAUCUUCGGACCUUGCGCUAAUAGAUGAGCCUAAGUCGGAUUAGCUAGUUGGUGGGGUAAAGGCCUACCAAGGCGACGAUCUGUAGCGGGUCUGAGAGGAUGAUCCGCCACACUGGGACUGAGACACGGCCCAGACUCCUACGGGAGGCAGCAGUGGGGAAUAUUGGACA
rnacentral:rRNA from 1 species